GUUCCUUGGAAAAGGACAGCUGAGAGGGUGACACUCCCGUCCGCCUGGUAGAGUGAGUCUUUGUCAACGAGUCGAGUUGUUUGGGAUUGCAGCUCUAAUUUGGUGGUAAAUUCCAUCUAAAGCUAAAUAUUGGUGGGAGACCGAUAGCGUACAAGUACCGUGAGGGAAAGAUGCAAAGAACUUUGAAAAGAGAGUUAAAGAGUACCUGAAAUUGCUGAAACGGAAGCGAAGGAAACCAGUGUUUGUUGGUUCAUAUUUCCCUUGUCACUUGUGAUGUGGGCGCUGUGAGCUUGCGUGGGUUUGCUUUGGUUAAUCCCUUUGGAAGAGCGCAGUCAGAGUUGAUGUCU
rnacentral:rRNA from 1 species